ACCAACAACACGUGAUUAAAUGUGCUUUAAUCCCGUGAAUGAAUGAAGUUGUUUAUAUGAAACAAAGAACUUGUUUCCUCGUGUUUUAUUGGCUGAGACUGAACACUGGAGGCCAUUCUUUGGUCUAGAGAAGUAAAAACAUUCAGGCUGUGUCUACUACCGCGCACUUGAGCACUUGAGCACUUGGAGCUGACUUUCAGUGUUCGAAGUGCGCCACUGAAAAAACCAGCAGAAUUCAGUGCACUGAAAGUACCCGGAUGGUGCACUGCAAACGGGCAAAAAAUGUAAAACGAUGGACACUACUCGCACUAAGCGGCCGCCAUCUUGGCUACGUACCGGAAGAGGAGGAGCCCUUUCGCCAGCUUUUCAUUUUAUUUCUAAAACAAUGGCGGACAGCACAAACGGUAGACCGUAAAUAGACGUUUCCUGGAGGUGCUGGUGCUCUGCUGCCCUCCCGACAUCUGGCUCCAAUGACCUCUGGCACCUCACAUCCACCUCCAGGGCCUUGAAGAAGAUGGACCGCCAUCGCGUCUUCAGUAUCCCGAAGGACCUCUCCACAACACACCUCGCCUUUGACAGGCAGCAGUUGUAGCUUGGAGGUGGACAGGCUGCCUGAAGGGGUCAUGAGGCAGAUGGGUUUGGACAGGCAGGGGGAGCCACCAUCCCCAAGGAUACAGUAUCCUGGUGGAGGGGAUGACUGCUCAUAGAAGAUGGGGCUGUUAUUCAGGACCCUGGCAUCAUGCACUGAGCCCGGGGCCUGUCGAAGGCCCUGGCCACCACCCGAUAGGAGGUGGCGCUGGCAAGCCAACAAAUAAAAACUAGACAGGAGAUCUCGGGGCCCCAACCGUGGUCAGUCAGUGCCCAGCACAGCCAUGAGGGCGUUGAAUGACUCGGUGAGCCUGAAGUCCACCCUCAUGUCACUGUGGCCAUCACAACACAACGCCAGCAGUGGCAUUGCAGCAUGGAUACGGCAGCGCCGCUGGGACUGGGUGGCUGCUGUAGAGUGUGGGGAGGGGAGGGGAAGGGAAGAUUAUAUUAAUAUGCAAGUCAUUUUAUCAAUAAAAUGUUGUCAUUGA